ACAUUUUUCUUCGAUGAAAACCGCAAACGAAGAAGCUAAAGGACUAUUUCUUCUCCAUACCAUCAUCUCUAUUUAUUUCCAUUAGGGAUGAAGAAUCUUAUCUGUUUCAACAAUUCUGUUAUGUGUACAAGAAGAUCUCAUCUCUCUCUUCUCAUGGUUAUUUUCUGGAAUAUUUAUUUUUACUCAAAUCUAGGGUUUCAUCACUAUCUUCAAUCCUUGUCUCUCGAUCACUCACUAUUUGUCUCUCGAUCACUCACUAUAUAUAUUGCUGGGGGACAGAUCUCUCUUUUUAUUCAUUUUGUCCAUGUGUGCGGAAAUCAAGCUUGAAAGAUCUUUCUCCUUUAUCUCAAUUGGAAACUCCGUGAGUCUCUGGAAUUUUUCUCUCGGGAAAAAUGACGGCCCUGAGUUAGCUGAUUUUUUUGAUGGUGGUCCCAAAGAUUCAAAAUAUUUAAUUUCUUACAGAAUUUCAAUCUUGUCAUAUGUGGCCUUCGUAUUUGAUUCCUCAAUGGUCAACCCUCGAGGUAGUUGGAGGUUGACAGCUAGAUUUCAGGACGUGGAGAACGAGCUAAAAGUUCAUGGAUAUGAUGGAAUGAUAGGUCCCAGGACUUGGAGAUCGAGAUAAAGGUCCACAGAUAUGGUGGAAUAUGGAAGAUUUGUACAGGAGAAACAAUUUAUGGAUGUGCAAUGUUUUAUGGUGCACCACUAGAUACCUCGUUCCUUUCUAAAAUGGAUUACUCUGAUGCUAUCAUUAUUAGAUAGAAGCUGUUGAUGGAGUUUGGCUGUUGAGGAAGAUGGUAGCAGUUGGGUUGCCGUCGAGGUUCAGUUUCAAAUGAGUUAAAUUGGUGGUGAUCAUGCUGGGUAAUAAGAUAAGUCAGCUUCGUUGAUGGAUGGAACAAAGGAAUGUAUAUGGUAGUUGGUGAAUUCGAGUCUGCCAUGGAAGCCGGAGGGGAUGGAGCUGAGUUAAGGGUGUUGCAAGUUUAUGAAGAAUUCCACUGACCAGGAUUCUGCAGAUUCACCUACAAGAUAUGAAAGAAGGUUUCUCUGAGCCACUUCCCAUUCAAGCGUUGGUCCAGGUACGAAAUUUCUUGGAAUGGUCGUUGAAAGCAUCAAAGCUAAAAGUUGGCAUGUGAACAACUAGCUUAUUAUGCUCAGCUGUGUGGUCUUCAUGUGUGCGCUGACCAGGCUCACUCCCGCCUGUCCUCAAGUAAUUUGACCGAAGAACAUCGAAAGAAAAAUCUCUCAUUUCAUCAGAUGGAAGUACUAAAAACCAAGUGAUGGAUGAUCUAGAUGUACAUAAUAUCGGCCUCUACAAGUUUGCUACUGAUUCAGCUGAUUUAUCCAUCUCCGACUUUUAAUCGAUAGUUGAGGAAAAAUUCAGUAAUGUUGAACUACAUAACAGCAGAAAUCUGCAGCCCAAAAAACGUUACAACUGGUCAGGAAAACACUAAUUAUGCAACAAAAAUCAUAAAGUAUAAUCAUCUUUUGAAUAAGAGGGUUGAGUUCUCACCUAGAACCACUAUGCAAAGUAUGUAGGGUCGUGAGCUUGCAAUGUUUGAAAGUCUAUGAUAAUUACUUGUAUAUUGUUAGCAUUUUGUAAAUCCAUUUGUACAAGUGCGUCUCUAUAAAUAUUUUUAUCAAAUCAAUAUAUUCCUCUAU